rnacentral:rRNA from 1 species
UACGAAGGGGGGCUAGCGUUGCUCGGAAUCACUGGGCGUAAAGCGCACGUAGGCGGGUCGUUAAGUCAGGGGUGAAAUCCCGGAGCUCAACUCCGGAACUGCCUUUGAUACUGGCGAUCUUGAGUUCGAGAGAGGUGAGUGGAACUGCGAGUGUAGAGGUGAAAUUCGUAGAUAUUCGCAAGAACACCAGUGGCGAAGGCGACUCACUGGCCCGGAACUGACGCUGAGAUGCGAAAGCGUGGGGGAGCAAACAGG